rnacentral:lncRNA from 1 species
CAGGGUAUGAUUGUGAUGUGAUAUGGCCAAUGAUGUGAUGUGAUAUAUUGGAUGUAUGAGAUGAUCAUGUUGUAAUAGAAAUAUCGACUUGCAUGUCGAUGGUACGGCAACCGGCAGGAGCCAUAGGGUUGUCUUUAUACUAACAUAUUUGUGCUUGCAGAUGCGUUUACUAUUUUGCUAGGAUGUAGCUUUAGUAGUAAUACCAUAAGUAGCACGACAACCCCGAUGGCAACACGUUGAUGGAUGAUCAUGGUGUGGCGCCGGUGACAAGAAGAUCGUGCCGGUGCUUUGGUGAUGGAGAUCAAGAAGCACGUGAUGAUGGCCAUAUCAUGUCACUUAUGAAUUGCAUGUGAUGUUAAUCCUUUUAUGCACCUUAUUUUGCUUAGAACGACGGAAGCAUUAUGAGGUGAUCUCUCACUAAAAUUUCAAGACGAAAUUGUGUUCUCCCCGACUGUGCACCGUUGCUACAGUUCGUCGUUUCGAGACACCACGUGAU